rnacentral:sRNA from 17 species
GGCGGCGUGCUGCUCAGCCCUUUUCUGAUCUACGUGUUGAUGGCUCUGGUGCUUACCGGUUUGUUGCGCUUUGUCGUGCAAGCAACGCCAUUGGGGCGCUGGAUCUGGCAUGAAGCGCUGUUCGACACAGCGCUG